GACCGCGUAGCGCAGACGGUAGCGCGGAGGAUUCGUAGAUCCUCAAAGUCGCUGGUUCGACUCCAGCCGCGGUCA
rnacentral:tRNA from 1 species